CCACGUGACCUCUGACCUGAAAUCGAAAUGUGAUGAAAGGCAUGAAAACGGUCACCUGACAAACGAGAUCGAGGUAACACCGAAACGCUUAACUCGGAAACGUCGGACGUCGUCGUGAGCACAUGAUCUAAAGGAGAACGGAGGAGAUGCUACACGUGUGAUGAGUCCCUGGACGAUCCGUGAGCGGCGGGUGGAGCGAGGGGCCCGGGAGGGCGGCGAAGGUGGCGCGCGGACGCAGGUCACUGCGUCAGGGCCAGGAGGAUGUCUUUCACCAGCAUGGUGCCGAUCACCAUCUUCUCGCAGUUGACCGUCAGCUGGGCGGCGCCCUCCUCUCUGGUGGCCACGGUGACCAACACCAGGCUGCCGCUGGUCACCGUCCUGCCGGCGAACCUGUGGGCGGGAGGGACAGGAGGACUGAGGUCAAAGCAGCGAAGGCCGGAAGUAAAGAGGAAGCCACAGAGCAAAAGUGAAUCAGGAUCAGUGGAUGAGCAUGUCCAGUCAUUCCCGGUGGUAGCAGAGUGUGAGUGGCCUUUGGAAGAUGCACUUCAGCACAGGAAGAUGGGCCUCAUCAGCUCCCCAACCGGCGGCUGGAUCGACACGAAGAAUUUCCUGGAGUGAGUGCUGCAAACGGAGACAGACGUGAAAAAAAAAAGUGCGGCUUCGGGGAUUAUCAUCAUUUUUCCGAAAGGACGGAAGAAUUUCCGAAUUUAUGGGAUCUAAACUUUGCUGCUCGAUAUUGUUUUUGUUUGUUUCUGGAUCUGCUGUACACGGAGACACAAAACCCAGUGGGAUCACAUAUCUCAAUUGGGGGUUCAAAAACAAUAUUUCGCUUGGCCCCGCAGACAAAGGCAAAGCUAUGAGGUCAGACGAAGUGAGUGUAAAUUCAAAGCUCGGCAGAUUCGUGAGAGGCAGUUCGUUACGACAUCCGUUCUGUCUCUCACUGUCGCCCAGCAGUACAGGAGGACUGCGGGGCGGGGACACGCACACUCUCAAACACGGAAUCCGUCUCACCACAGCUGGAAGUUCGCCGCCUGUGUUGAGUCACAGAAAUCGAUGCCCAUCACAGCCGUGGCCGUCUCACCCGCCGGCAGCAGCUCUGCAGACACGGAGGAAAAACAGAGGCAAGAGUGUUGACACGUGCCCAAAUGAAGCCACGUGAAGCUCCUCAGGCAAGCAGCUCAGCCGCUUUGAUCUAUGAGGACCGGCGUGGCAGGCUCCGGUGCAGGCUGCGUUAGGUGGGACUCACUGGAGAAGCUAAGCUACACGCUAAUUGUAAGAUGGCCGUUGAUGCACAGAAUAAAGUGUAGAUUAUGGUGACUCAGCUCCAGAAAGAGAUGUUGGAAAACAAAAGAAACUUUUUGCUUCUCUGUGUGUGAAGUUAAACUAACAGUGGUAUUCCAAAGAUGCUGUUUGACUGACAUCCAUCGUUGCCUGUUAGUACUUAACAACUGCGUACUUUCAUUCCUUUUAUAUCAACUGAUAAUCAGUAUAUGGUGAAUAUCGUGUACAAUUAGUUUGCAGAGUCUAUUGUGAGUUUUAGAAAUGUGUUCAAUGAAUUAAAUUAUAUAGUCUAAGCAUAUACAUCCAUUGUAUCUUGCAGGAGGCAGAACUUUCUACUUAAUUCUGAAAACCUUACAAGCGUAACUUAUAGCUUUUGUACCAUGACUUUUACUCACAGCAGUACUUUCCAUAAAAAUCUUUU